rnacentral:rRNA from 1 species
GUGGAUUAGAUACCCUGGUAGUCCAUGCCGUAAACGUUGGGAACUAGAUGUAGGGCCUGUUCCACGGGUUCUGUGUCGUAGCUAACGCAUUAAGUUCCCCGCCUGGGGAGUACGGCCGCAAGGCUAAAACUCAAAGGAAUUGACGGGGGCCCGCACAAGCGGCGGAGCAUGCGGAUUAAUUCGAUGCAACGCGAAGAACCUUACCAAGGCUUGACAUAUACGGGAAUACUGCAGAAAUGUAGGACUCUUUGGACACUCGUAUACAGGUGGUGCACGGUUGUCGUCAGCU